UACGAAGGGGGCUAGCGUUGUUUGGAAUUACUGGGCGUAAAGCGCAUGUAGGCGGCGAUUCAAGUCGGGGGUGAAAUCCUGAGGCUCAACCUCAGAACUGCCUUCGAUACUGCAUUGCUGGAGUAUGGAAGAGGUAGGUGGAACUGCGAGUGUAGAGGUGAAAUUCGUAGAUAUUCGCAAGAACACCAGUGGCGAAGGCGACUUACUGGACACAUAUUGACGCUGAGGUGCGAAAGCGUGGGGAGCAAACAGG
rnacentral:rRNA from 1 species